AUUGAACGCUGGCGGCAUGCCUUACACAUGCAAGUCGAACGGCAGCACGGGAGCAAUCCUGGUGGCGAGUGGCGAACGGGUGAGUAAUAUAUCGGAACGUGCCCAGUCGUGGGGAUAACGUAGCGAAAGCUACGCUAAUACCGCAUACGAUCUAUGGAUGAAAGCGGGGGAUCGCAAGACCUCGCGCGAUUGGAGCGGCCGAUAUCAGAUUAGGUAGUUGGUGAGGUAAAGGCUCACCAAGCCGACGAUCUGUAGCUGGUCUGAGAGGACGACCAGCCACACUGGGACUGAGACACGGCCCAGACUCCUACGGGAGGCAGCAGUGGGGAAUUUUGGUACAAUGGGCGCAAGCCUGAUCCAGCAAUGCCGCGUGCAGGAUGAAGGCCUCGG
rnacentral:rRNA from 1 species